AAGAGUUUCGUCGAGAUAUCCUCCUCCCGUCUCGACGGAUAAACGGCCGGCUUUCUCCUCCUCCCGAAACGCCGGUCGAUCAAAACGACACCCGCCGGACCUCCUCCCCCGGCGGGUGUUGUUU
rnacentral:sRNA from 18 species